rnacentral:rRNA from 1 species
UACGUAGGGUGCGAGCGUUGUCCGGAAUUAUUGGGCGUAAAGAGCUCGUAGGCGGUUUGUCGCGUCGACUGGUGAAAACUGGGGGCUUAACUCUCAGCUUGCAGUUGAUACGGGCAGACUUGAGUUCGGUAGGGGAGACUGGAAUUCCUGGUGUAGCGGUGAAAUGCGCAGAUAGUCAGGAGGAACACCGGUGGCGAAGGCGGGUCUCUGGGCCGAUACUGACGCUGAGGAGCGAAAGCGUGGGGAGCGAACAGG